rnacentral:piRNA from 1 species
UGGAAGCACUUAUUGCCCCCUUUUUGCCUGA